GGCGAUAUGGUCCAGUGGUCACGACGGUGGAUUUUGAUAUAGAUACUCGACUUCCACAUACCUGGGUUCGAACCCCAGUAUUGCCU